rnacentral:rRNA from 1 species
AACUACUAGGAAACGGUAGCUAAUACCGCAUAACGUCGCAAGACCAAAGAGGGGGACCUUCGGGCCUCUUGCCAUCGGAUGUGCCCAGAUGGGAUUAGCUAGUAGGUGGGGUAACGGCUCACCUAGGCGACGAUCCCUAGCUGGUCUGAGAGGAUGACCAGCCACACUGGAACUGAGACACGGUCCAGACUCCUACGGGAGGCAGCAUG